rnacentral:lncRNA from 1 species
GACAGGAGCCAGGGGGCCCAGGGGUCGUGGCUGAACACCUGUUGUCUCUCAUAAGUGGAAGCCAUCACCUACCGGGUCACUGGGGUUCAAGGCCUGUGCUCGACCGGGACCAGGCUGUCUGUGCACAGCUCACUGCCCCACAAGCAAGGACUCUACCCAAUGCUGCGGCUGCUGAUUGCACACGUGUUUCCGGCUUGGCUCCCACAGUGAAUGUUGACAGAAACAGCGUCUUCAGAGAAUGUAGAAAAAGAGGGAUUCGGGAGAUUAGGGACACAAUUUCCAUGUCUAGACUCAGUUCCCGCAGCGACAUCUGCUCUAAUCAGGGUCCCUGGGAUUCAGCACCUUGUGCAGAUCACCCCCUAAACAGCUUCGCUCUCUUGGAGAAACUGGAUUGUGAAACCUCCCGACAGCAGCCCUGGGUGCGAGGACCCUCCCCGUGCCGUUCCAAGGUUAAACCCCAGGUGAAGUCCUGAGGUUUUGUGGUUGCAAAAACAAAGUAUGAGAAAAGUCU